UAAUACAGAGGGUGCGAACGUUGUUCGGAAUUACUGGGCUUGAAGCGCGCGUAGGCGGCCCCGCAAGUGCGGUGUGAAAUCCCACGGCUUACCCGUGGAACCGCGCCGUGUACUACGGGGCUAGAGGAUGGUAGAGGAGGGCGGAACUCUUGGUGGAGCGGUGAAAUGCGUAGAGAUCAAGAGGAACACCGGUGGCGAAGGCGGCCCUCUGGUCCAUUACUGACGCUGAGGCGCGAAAGCUAGGGGAGCAAACGGGAUUAGAUACCCCGGUAGUCCUAGCUGUAAACGAUGGGCACUGACUAGAGGCUCUUCCUGUGGAGUCUCUGGUGGAACGAAAGCGAUAAGUGCCCCGCCUGGGGAGUAUAGUCGCAAGGCUG
rnacentral:rRNA from 1 species